AAUCAACGCUGGCGGCGUGCCUCAGACAUGCAAGUCGAACGCGAAAGACACCUUCGGGUGUCCGGUAGAGUGGCGCACGGGUGAGUAACACGUGGGUAAUUUACCUUCGGGUGGGGAAUAACAGCCGGAAACGGCUGCUAAUACCGCAUAAUGCAGCGGCACCUCAUGGUGACAGUUGUUAAAGCGGGGGAUCCUUCGGGACCUCGCGCCUGAAGAGAAGCCCGCGGCAGAUUAGCUAGUUGGUGAGGUAAUGGCUCACCAAGGCGACGAUCUGUAG
rnacentral:rRNA from 1 species